AACGUAGGACACAAGCGUUAUCCGGAGUUACUGGGCGUAAAGAGCGCGUAGGCGGUUUGUUAAGUCUGCUAUGAAAGCACCUGGCUAAACUGGGUGAGGCUGGCGGAUACUGGCAAGCUAGAGUGAGACAGAGGCAGAUGGAAUUCCGCGUGUAGUGGUGAAAUGCGUAGAGAUGUGGAGGAACACCGAUGGCGAAGGCAGCCCCCUGGGUUAACACUGACGCUCAGGCACGAAAGCGUGGGGAGCAAACAGG
rnacentral:rRNA from 1 species